AGAAUUUUAAUGGUCGAACAGACCAACCCUUAAAGACUUCUGCACCUUUAGGAUAUUCUGGUCCAACAUCGAGGUCACAAACCUUUUUUUCGAUUAGAGCUCUCAAAAAAGAUAAUGCUGUUAUCCCUACGGUAACUAAUUCCAUUAAUCAUAAUUUUUGGAUCAAAACAAGUAAGUUUUUGUAAAUUAAAGAAGCUUUUUUUGUUCCUUAGUCGCCCCAACCAAAAUUUUUAAUAAUUUUUUUUUACAUAGUAUAAUUAAAUUUUAUUAAUUUUUUUAAAGCUCGAUAGGGUCUUCUUGUCUUUUAAUUAUAUACAAACCUCUUCAUCUGUAAGUAAAAUUCUAUCUAAUUAGGAAGAGACAGCUUUGCUCUUGUGAGACCAUUCAUUCCAGUCCUCAAUUAUAGGACAAAUUAUUAUGCUACCUUAGCACAGUUAAGAUACUGCGGCCGUUGAAAAAAUCACUGGGCAGGCCGGACUCUUUAUGUAAGUUAUUCAAAGAGCC
rnacentral:rRNA from 1 species